AACUAACGCUGGCGGCGUGCCUAACACAUGCAAGUCGUACGAGAAAGCCGGCUUCGGCUGGUGAGUAAAGUGGCGCACGGGUGAGUAACGCGUGGAUAAUCUGCCCUUAAGUGUGGAAUAACGUACCGAAAGGUGCGCUAAUACCGCAUAAUGCCUGGCAACACAAGUUGUCCGGCCAAAGAAGGCCUCUGUUUACAAGCUUUCGCUUCAGGAUGAGUCCGCGUACCACUAGCUUGUUGGUGGGGUAAUGGCCUACCAAGGCUGCGAUGGUUAGCUGGUCUGAGAGGAUGAUCAGCCACACUGGAACUGAGACACGGUCCAGACUCCUACGGGAGGCAGCAGUGAGGAAUAUUGCGCAAUGGGGCAACCCUGACGCAGCAACGCCGCGUGAGUGAGGAAGGUUUUCGGACUGUAAAGCUCUGUCGAGCGGGAAGAAGUGUACCAUGGCUAAUAUCCAUGAUAUUUGACGGUACCGCUAGAGG
rnacentral:rRNA from 1 species